GGUCCCUUAGCUCAGCUGGAUAGAGCAUCAGAUUUCUAAUCUGACGGUCGAAGGUUCGAGUCCUUCAGGGAUCA
rnacentral:tRNA from 1 species